GGUGAACGCUGGCGGCGUGCUUAAGACAUGCAAGUCGAACGGGCUCUUCGGAGCUAGUGGCGCACGGGUGAGUAACGCGUAACUGACCUACCCCAAAGUCGCGGAUAACGAUUCGAAAGAAUCGCUAAUACGUGAUGUGCUGUCAGAUCCUGUUCUGCCAGUAAAGAUUUAUUGCUUUGGGAUGGGGUUGCGUUCCAUCAGCUAGUUGGUGGGGUAAAGGCCCACCAAGGCGACGACGGAUAGCCGGCCUGAGAGGGUGGCCGGCCACAGGGGCACUGAGACACGGGUCCCACUGCUACGGGAGGCAGCAGUUAGGAAUCUUCCACAAUGGGCGAAAGCCUGAUGGAGCGACGCCGCGUGAGGGAUGAAGGUCUUCGGAUCGUAAACCUCUGAAUCAGGGACGAAAGACACUUUAUGUGGGAUGACGGUACCUGAGUAAUAGCACCGGCUAACUCCGUGCCAGCCGCCGCGGUAAUAC
rnacentral:rRNA from 1 species